GCGUGCACAUCCUGAACUACUUUGUAUUGAUGCACUGAACAUCUCACAUGUGCAGGAUGGUCUUCGGAUUUAUGUACGAGGUCAGGAAGUGGUAAACUUAUCUCAAGUGAAAUGUGCCUCUGCAGUAGCUGCAGUUUGAGAUGAUAUCUGAGAUCUCAAGUGAUGAACAUGCCAAGCCUAAUGGACAGACUGCUGAUGUGUUACUGUUUCACAUGUGUCAGUGUCUAUGGACUAGGACCUGGAACUCAUCAUUCCACCUCUCCGAGCUUUAACGAUUCUUCUAUCGGUGGUGAUGUUGUCAUACAUUCAGCCUUCAACGAGGGGAGUGACGUAAACUUGACAUGCAGCAAUAAGACGUGGAAUGAGACACUAUAUGUUAUCUGGACAAUACAGUUGAAAUACAGAAAUGAAUGCAAGAUAUCCUUAGAUGAUGGAGGGCGAAGAGUAGACACAUGCAAAGAUGGCAAGUCACUCUAUACAUCCAGCACUCAGUCAUACUUGCACAUCCCAAACUUGACCAAUGGCGACGAAGGGGUCUACAAAUGUGAGUCGGUUUAUGAAGGAGGAAUCGAUCGUUAUGAGAUCAACGUGGCCAUCACAGUUCCUCCCAGAAUAUCAGCCUGGUUAGAGAAAGAGGACAACAAGAUGGUGGCAAUGUGCAAAGCUGAAAGAGGAAAACCUGCUGCCAACAUCUUCUGGAGCCAUGAGGGAAACUUAUCGGAUGUGAAAACAUCGUCUGACAAAGAUGGAUUUUUUACAGUAGAGAGUCGUCUGGAGAUCUCAGAAGGAACGAACACAGAAAACCUGAACUGUGCUGUCAGCCACCCGUACUGGAGAGAGGAUAAGAUUUUAGAACCAAAACUCACAAAAGGUUAUUUUUGGCCACGUAUCCUUACUGUUGUGUCAAUCCUGGUGAUUUUGGCAGGAUUUUUACUUUUGUACAAGCGAAAAUAAUGUUGAGGCGAUGUCAGCAGGCGAUGUCAGCAGUUUGACACCUCACCAACCACUUCCCCUGUCACCUCUGGUGUGCCUCAGGGCUCUGUCCUGGGGCCCCUCCUCUUUAUCAUUUAUCUCCUUCCCCUUGGCAAUAUCUUCCGCAAACAUAACAUCACUUUUCACUGUUACGCAGAUGACACCCAGCUCUACCUCGCCAGCAAACCCACUUCCAACCUCCCUCCCUCCUCCCUUACCGACUGCUUAACUGAAAUAAAAUCCUGGUUCACUUCAAAUCUACUAAAACUCAACUCUGACAAAACUGAGAUCCUUCUCAUUGGCACACAGUCAACACUUUCCAAAACCGACAGUUUCCCCCUCAUCAUUGAUAACUGCUCCGUUUCCCCCUCCCCACAGGUUAAGAGUCUGGGUGUCAUCCUCGACAGUACACUCUCCUUCCAAUCUCACAUCAAUAACAUCACCCGGUCUGCUUACUUCCACCUACGCAACAUCAACCGCCUCCGCCCCUCCCUUACUCCCCAUACCACUGCUAUCCUCGUCCAUAGUCUCAUCACUUCCCGUCUGG
rnacentral:lncRNA from 1 species